rnacentral:rRNA from 1 species
ACCCGUUGAUCCUGCGGGAGGUUGCUGCUAUCGGGAUUCGAUUAAGCCAUGCAAGUCAGGUAGUAAUACCGGCGACAAGCUCAGUAACACGUCAAUAAUCUGCCCUUAGGUCAUGGAUAACCUUGGGAAACUGAGGGUAAACCAUGAUAGGAGAGAUGCUCUGGAACAUAGUUCUCUUUAAAUCUCGAGCCUAAGGAUGAGUUGGCGGCCGAUUAGGCUGUUGGCGGUGUAACGGACCACCAAACCUAUGAUCGGUAGGGGCCUUGAAAGAGGGAGCCCCGAGAAGGACACUGAAAUACUGGUCCUAGCCCUACGGGGUGCAGCAGGCGCGAAAAUUUUACAAUGCACGCAAGUGUGAUAAGGGGAUCCCGAGUGCUUGCACACUGUGCAGGCUUUUUUCUAGGGCAAGUACCUAGGAGAAUAAGUGGUGGGUAAGACUGGUGCCAUCCGCCGCGGUAACACCAGCGCCACGAGUGGCAACCGCGUAUUUGGCCUAAAGCGUCCGUAGCUGGCAUAAUAAAUCCUUUGUGAAAUUGUUGGGCCUAACCCAACAUCGUGCAGAGGACACUGUUAUGCUUGAGACCGGGAGGGGUUAGAGGUAUUUCUGGGGGAGCGGUAAAAUGCUAUAAUCCCAGGAAGACCACCUGUGGCGAAGGCGUCUAACCAGAACGGAUCUGACAGUGAGGGACGAAAGCCAGGGGAGCAAACCGGAUUAGAUACCCGAGUAGUCCUGGCCGUAAACGCUGCGAGCUAGGUGUUGCCUAUUCUACAUGAAUGGGCAGUGUCGAAAUGAAGAUGUUAAGCUCGCCGCCUGGGAAGUACAGUCGCAAGGCCGAAACUUAAAGGAAUUGGCGGGGGAGCACUACAAGGGGUGCGGCGUGCGGUUUAAUCUAACUCAACGCAGAGCAUCUUACUAGUAGCGACGGCAGAAUGAAGGUCAAUCUGAAGGGUUUACCUGACGAGCCGAGAGGUAGUGCAUGGCCGCCGUCAGCUCGUGCCGUGAGGUGUCCUCUUAAGUGAGGCAACGAGCGAGACCUGCGCCUGCAAUUGCUAACGGUUCCUACGGGAAGACUGAGCACAUUGCAGGGACCGCUCCGGAAACGGAGAGGAAGGUGCAGCUACGGUAGGUCUGUAUGCUCCGAAUCCACUAGGCUACACGCGCGCAACAAUGGUAGACACAAUGGGAUGCGACCCUGAAAAGGGAAGCUAAUCCUCUAAAAUCUAUCUUAGUCCAAAUUGAGGGUUGUAACUCACCUCAUGACGUCGGAAUCCCUAGUAAUCAGAGUUCAUCAUACUCUGGUGAAUACGUCCCUGCUCCUUGCACACACCGCCCGUUAAACCAACCGAGCAGGGUUUAGAUGAGACUCAACUUUCAUUGGUUGUUUCGAAUCUAAGCUCAGUGAGGUGGGUUAAGUCGUCACAAGGUC